rnacentral:rRNA from 1 species
UACGUAGGGUGCGAGCGUUGUCCGGAAUUAUUGGGCGUAAAGGGCUCGUAGGCGGUCUGUCGCGUCGAAAGUGAAAACUCAGGGCUUAACCCUGAGCCUGCUUCCGAUACGGGCAGACUAGAGGUAUGCAGGGGAGAACGGAAUUCCUGGUGUAGCGGUGAAAUGCGCAGAUAUCAGGAGGAACACCGAUGGCGAAGGCAGGUCUCUGGGCCAUAACUGACGCUGAGAAGCGAAAGCAUGGGGAGCGAACAGG